rnacentral:rRNA from 1 species
GACCUUUUCCAUCAUGGAGAAGGGUACCAGUAAAACGGUUUGUAAUGUGGGUUGAUUAGAACUUAACCCGAGCAACAAUUGGAGGAAAAGUCUGGUGCCAGCACCCGCGGUAAUUCCAGCUCCAAUAGUGUAUUUUAAAGUUGUUGCAGUUAAAACGCUCGUAGUCAAUUUAAGACUCCAGAAUAUAACGCCCGGAGGGCCAACGCCGCCAUUUCUAGCUUAGCGUGGAGUGUUACGGUGACAGCCGUCUAUAGUUGGUUUUCCCGUGGCUUUUUACGGCGCAAAAGCGCUGUUUUAGGUGGGCCUAUAGUUCUGGAUUCGCCCCGCUAAUUUAUUUUAGCCCCCUCAACUGUGAGAAAAACAAAGUGCUCAAAACAAACAAUGUUAAAUACGUUUGAAUGACACAACAUGGUAUUGAAUAUCAGCCUUGCGCUAUUUUAUAGCUCAAGGCGUAUAUAAUGGGAUGUUGGAAGAGGAUUCAGGCAUUGUUGCGCUAGAGGUGAAAUUCAAAGAACGCAGCAAGACUAACAGAUGCAAAAGCGGUUAUAUCCAUUACGCUUCCGUCAAUCAGGAACGAAAGUCGGGGGAUCGAAGAUGAUCAGAUACCGUCGUAGUCCCGACCGUAAACUAUACUGACAAGAGAUUGGCAAGAUACCUUUUUUCCAGAUCCCCUCAGAAUCUAAGGGAAACCGAAAGUGUUUGAGUUCUGGGGGGAGUAUGGUCGCAAGGCUGAAACUUAAAAGAAUUGACGGAAGAGCACCACCAGGAGUGGAGUUUGCGGCUUAAUUCGACCCAACACGGGAAAACUCACCAGGUCCGGACAUUAGUAGGAGUGACAGAUUAAAGUUCUUUCAUGAUUUGAUGCACGGUGGUGCAUGGCCGUUCUUAGUUCGUGGAGUGAUUUGUCAGGUUAAUUCCGAUAACGAACGAGACCUUAAUCUAUUAAAUAGGCUUUGGCUUUAUUAAAGCCAAAUUUUGCGCUAGGGCAACUUAGCGCAAGCCGCUUCUUAGGGAGACAAUGCAGCGUUUAUAAAUUAGCGUAGGGAAGUUUGAGGCAAUAACAGGUCUGUGAUGCCCUUAGAUGUUCUGGGCAGCACGCGUAUUACAAUGUUAAUACCAACGAGUUUAUUGCCGGCGCAAGCCGGUACCUUUCCUAAUAAAAAGGACGGGAAAACUUUUCAACAAUUAACGUGACUGGGAUAGCUGUUUGUAACUACAUCUUUAACGAGGAAUUCCUAGUAGGCGCAAGUCAUCAACUUGCAUCGAUUACGUCCCUGCUCUUUGUACACACCGCCCGUCGCUCCUACCGAUGGAACGAAAAGGUGAAUUUAAAGAACUGCAUUCGUGUGGGAAUUUAACUGAACCUUUUUGUUUGUAGGAAGGAAAAGUCGUAACAAGGUCUCCGUAGGUGAACCUGCGGAGG